UAUUAAUUGUGCAGGAGACUGUUAAUUUAAACUUUAUUAUGGUAACGUUAAAUGCUCGCUCGUUUUGCAAAGUUACGCUUGGAGAUUCAUGUUAACAGUCGUUGUUUAAUGAAAGGCACAUUGGACUACGGGUUAGUAAUAUGUGUGACACUUGCUUGCAGCACUGUAACGUAAAUCGUUAACACCGUGUCCUAAAUAGACAUGACACGCGGUAACGGGUUUCUUUUCAGUUUAUGUCCUUACGUUAUAGGACGGGUCAUUAAAUUAUGCCUUUCGAUUAUCGCAACGCCUCGUCGUGUUUGGUUAAGCACAUGGUGGAACAGUAUGCACAUCACUGUACCUAACGUACUGUACACCUGUGAGCGGCAUGACGAGACAAAAGACGGUAAAACUCAAUAUUAAUCGGUGAUGCUGUACAUUCUGGAUGAUGCACAGACACAUUUUAUAAUACUGUUUUUUAUUUUCGUGUCGCGCCGCUCGCGUUCAAUAUAAAGUUAGACAAGACGCAAUUAAUUAUUGGGAGAGUAGUGGUCUAAUGGUAAGAGUCGAACUUCACGAACCUUUCACUGCUUGCAGUAAGGCUAAAGUGCUACGUGAAUAAGAUGGGUGUAGUUUUGUGCUACUAGCUGUAAAGUGUUUUUGCACUAUUGAGUUAUAAAUACUGCCCAGUAAUACUUAGCUAGAUGUAAAUCACAAAUCCUGUGUCAAUGUUUGUUUGUAAUCUUUUUCAGCUAUCCAUCUGAAAAAGAAAAGCCGGCACUCUCAAAGGAGAUUGUGUUUUUGGAUUAUGGUCUCAUUUGGUCAAAAAGAGGGACAUGUACCGUAAGGAUGCUUUUACAUACUUCAUUUAUGUGUAUGAAAUUACUUACUUGACAAUGUGUAUAAAAACUGUACUUGACUCUAACUAAGUGCUAUUUUUGCAUUGAUCAUGAUAGGAGCAUUUUUUUUUUUUUUUUGAUGGGCCAUCACACAGUGGAUUCAUAAAAUGAGAUUACAGAACAUCAGACGGUAGCUUCAACAGAGUUGAAGUGGGAGGACAUCAUCAAUAAAGAAUGCCAUUGACCAAACCUUCAGUCAUCAAAGAAGAUGGAUACAGGGGGACAUCAAGUUUUCCAGACUUACCGAUGGUAAAGAAGAAAUGGGAAUGUGACAAUUAUUGAGAAACUCAGGGAAAAAGCAUCUUUAGAGAAGAAAAUGGACAUCAGACAUUUAUUGAAGAAAGCUGACAGUCAACAUAAUGGUAUGAUUUCCUAUCUCUGUUCCAAAUGUUUAAUUUGGAAAAUGACGUUUAAAAAGUAACAUUCAAAGUACGAUAUAAAAGUAAUCCUUUUUUAAGAAUUUUUUCUCAUAAUUUAUAUUUUGCAUGUGACCUGCAUGUUUACUACACCCAGACGAGAGCUGUGUUAUACAAUGCUAAGGAUACUCGUUCAUCUUCUGCUGUGUGAAUUCUGCUGUGUCAGUCCUGUGGGACUUGAUGCCGGCUGGUACCAGUGUGACGUCUUUGCUGACUAAAUGAUCAAAGGGUGUCUGAAAUCAGCUCAGCCACAGUUGGUUUCCAGUGGUUCUUCAGGACAUGGAGGCCACUACGUAACUGUUGCAAUGAACGAUUCUUUUGCCUUUCCACCUGAUGUUGACAAUCUGACCUGUGCGGUACUGAAAACAACUUGCACUGACAUAUCUUAAAAUAUAUCAGUGCCCUUUGUUUUGCCUCAAAAUGCACACCAGUAAUGUUUUUUGUUGAAAGCAGUUAUAUUUCCUAAUUAAACUAAGGCCUAGUCCUGGAUUAUGCUAAUCCCCUGUACGGGAAACCGCCCCUAAAUGUUUUGUGACAGAAAUUUCUUUGAAUACACUUGUCAAGUUCAUUUUAAGUAUUUUUCUAAAUGUAAGAUAACAUGUUAAUGUUUCAGGACAAGUUACAUUUUUUUGAUAACUUGCAUGUUGGAAAUGAUUUCAGACAUUGUUCUAUUCAACAUGUUUAACACAGUUGCUUUAAAAUUCAAUGAAUUAUUUUCUAAAUAGUGUUUUAAAACGUUUCAAUGUAAUGUAUGUUUGAAGUAAUUAUACUUGCACUUACAUUUAUUUAAAUUAGCAUACAUCUAGCAACAUAAAGUACUAGCAUAUUUUCAUGCAAGCAUUAAUUGUCAAAUAUUUGUUAUUUUACAA